AGGAAAGUCUUUGGCAGACAAGCUGCCUUCAUCACACGCGAAUGAGAGAGAAAGAGAGUUUGAGGCUCUUGUGGAAGUUAGAGAGGGAAAAAGCGUGAGCUCUCUGCAAGCGUUCAACCAUGGCUGUUGGGAGGAGAAGAGGAGAAGAUCUGCACAAAGGCUUCACGAAAGGUUUGCUUGGAGAUUUCACACUCAACCUAACUUCCCCCAGAUCAAAACCCUGAGCACCAGGUCAUUACCAAACUUCCGCCACGACCUCCUCUGCCUACUCCCUCUCCGCUCUGCCACUCUCCCGUCCCCGAGUCGCCGAUGUUAGAAGCGGCUCCUGGACUAGAUCCAUAGGUUUUCCGCUUCUUUCUCGUCAUCGAACGGCAUCGUUUCAAAGCUCUGGAAGGUUCUUCAGUGGUGGCAGGAGUAGUCGGCCAAGCGACGUCGUUCUAGUGCAGAAUACGACUUGGAAGGGGACCGAAUCGGCGAAGGGAUCAGCAAAAUGUUUCCUUGGCUUUCAUGAUGGGGGGAUCAAGGAGGCAAACAGAUCAUGGAGGAGGCAUGGGGAAAUAAAUGAAGUUGGCUGGAGUGUCGUGUGGGGGAACACCAAAUGCUGAUGGAUCAUAAUUACCUGGGAUAUUUGAUAUGGUGAUUUUUUUCAUAGUAGAUGGUACGAAGAAAGAUGGUUAAAAAUUAAGUAACACAUAAAUCUUAAAACUGUAAAUUCUGAAUUUUAUGGAAAGAUGCAAGAGUGUUUAUAGAAAUAGAUAAGCAUAUAAGCCUUAAUCUUGCUUUUCCUAUUCAAUUAUGACAAUUGAUAUAUAACUAAGUUUUCUUUUGAUAGUUAAUUUAGAAAGAAAGAAAUUGUCAACAAUAUUGUUGAAAAGGUUAUUAUUCCUUCAUGUGUGCAAUUUUUGUUUGAUCUAAAACUCAUUGCAACUUCUGACUCAUAUUACUGGCGGUAGUUCUUGUCAAGUGAUUUUGUUGUGAUGCUUUUUCAUUAGGAUGGUUUUGUGGAUGGAUGGAAGUUGGAGUAACCAUGUAAUACAUAUAUCUGCUAUAAAUAAAAAAAAUGGUAUAAAAGGCUCAGGCAAAUUUUUCUCUCUAGUUGUAAUAAUCUUUUCUGAAGAUUAAGUUUAUGGAUAAAGAUUGAGUCAAAUAAUGCUGUAUCAUGGCAUAGGUGAUUUGUGAAACGGAUUUUGCAUCCAGACAUAAUAAUACAACUAUAUAUUUCUUUAGGAUGAGGACCUUCUUGUUGAUAAUUUUAAUCCAAAAAGGAAAAUGGUUUUUUUGCUUCCUUUUAUAAAAUUUCUCCAAGAAUAUUGUUGACAAUUUCUUUUCAACAAUAUUGUUGCCAAUUUCUUUCUGCUUAAGGUCCUAAAUGAUUCUGCAAGCAAUCAAAUUCACGAUCAAUAGAAAACUUAGUUAUGUAUCAAUUAUCAUAAUUAGACAGUGGCAAGAAGAUUAAGGGCUUAUAUGCAUACAUGUGGAUAACUAUCUAUUUCUAUAAAUACUUUUGCAUCUCUCCAUGUUCAGAAUUGCCAACUUUAAGAUUUAUGUUUUCCUUGACUUCUAACCAUCUUUUUUCGGAUCAUCUGUCAUUGAAAAAUAAAAAUCACCGUAUUAAAUAUUUUAUGCAAUUAUGAGAGUUAUUGACACUUAUCCUAUCCACCUGUUUCUUGAGAACAACCAGGCUUUUGGUGUGCAUGAGAUUGAGGAAGAAUUCCAUUUGAAGGAGGUAUUUAUCUAUUGUUAAAGAAGAGGGUCUUGAGAUAUCUCAGCCGGCUCUGGAUCCUACCAAAUCUGAGGUACAUCAUCCAGAGUCCAUAAAGCGGGAUCAAAACUGCACAGGUUGACCUUAUUUUUCUAACCUUUUGCAAUAAACAUGUUCCACUGGUAAAUUCGCACCAUAUUAAAAUUACAACCAAUAUGGCACUCUAUUAACUAUCUUAGGUAUUGUAUAGUUCCUUGUCCUUUUGGGGUUUCAUUUAAAAAAUAUGUGCAUACUACACACAGCGUCUCCAUAAGGUGUACUACAGAAAAAUGUGCCCUAACAUACCCUUGCUAUUUACGUUACCAAUGUAUAUGAAUAGAGUGGUCCUAAUAUAGGGGACCUUUCAAAGAACUACAUUGGACAUAUGACCUUCCUGUAUGCUUUUUCAGCUUAUUUCAAUUGAAUACAUAAAGAAAAAAAACUUGUCACAGUAAAAUUUUUAAAGUUAUUUGAGUAAAUUUCAUAAUUGAGUUUGUGAAUAAGUUCUCAUAUGAUAAAAAUUUAUAUAAUUUAAUGGAGUUGCUUACUCUAACACAGCCUUAAUUGAGUAUGCGCCUACAAUUAUUAGAACACAACCGUUGUAAAACUGUCUUAAAUGUUAACAUUGAAGAGAUUCACCUGCAAAGCCGAGUGGAGUGUCGUAGUGUGGAACCACCAGGAUGCAGGCUCUUAGCAAAUUGAUAUUCUAUAUUAAUUAAUGAUAUAAAUAGCGUAGUCUUUCCAAGGCAUGAUCUAUUAUUACCUUACUAACAGGUUUUGUGGGAAUUGUUAGAUUCUAAGCCCACUUUUUUAGAGUAACCAACAUGAAAUCCCUUUCUUAAGUUGUCUUGAGAUCAUGAUAAAGAAGUAAGUAAUAGGCUCCUUAUCACGGUGCUCCACUAGAGUGGUAGUCAAACCAAUGGCUAAAUCUUCUUCUUCAAAGUAAAGGUAGGCGAAGACUUAUAGGUCUUUGAAAGGAGGUCACUUCAAGGGCACAUGAUCCAAGGGUCAAAUCCAGUUUACAAGUUCAGUUAUUCUCUAAAGAUAUUUCACUUAAAGUAGUUGGAAUAGAAGGUCAGAUAUAAGCUGUGGUAUAGCCAUUCAAGUCUGGGGGAAUGCCUUCUCACUUAGGAAGUUCCAAUCAAGCAGGCCAUCUCUAUCUCUCUUGAAAGCUUAAAGUACCUGAGGGAAAGAACUUUAUUUGAAAGUUCUUGCUUUUGGAAAUACAACGCCACAACCAAAAAGGAUAGUCACUUAUGAUGGUAGGAUCUGGUACUGGGGAUUCUAGUGCAUAGUCGGUAAGGAAGUCUUUAUUAAGUUUGCAGUGAAAAUCUUGUGCCAGCAGUUUCCUUUUGUUUAGUUGGUGAAAGCUAAGGUGGAAGUUGGUGGACAAAUAAGUAGAAGUUAAAUCAAAAUCAUCAUCUGCUUACAUCUUAAUCAACAUACUAAGCAGCAGGGAAGGGGGCGAAAGAAGGGCUUGACAUCACGAAAGGAAUUCAAUGAUUCUGAAGCCUUGGCAUAAGAAGAAGCAUGUUUGAAAAGAUAGAAGAAGAGUUUAAGAAGAAGGUCAUUGACUCUGUCUUCCACAAAACACGACACGAGGAGUUGCUAUUGAUGUCCAAACCCUCAAAAUGUUCAAGCUGCUCUUCGCUCUAAAACACGACACGAGCUGCUCUUGAUGUCUAAACCCUCAAGAAUACUUCAUUUGAUGUCUAAACCCUUACAGAAGCAGAGAUGUUUUCAGGAGAGGACUUUGUAACUUCUGUUCGAGGCUAAUUUUGAAGAUAGAUAAGCAAUCAUAGAGUGCUUGGAAAGACACUUGGUUCAAGAGUUCAUGCAAGUCUCUCCCUAAAAUGCUACCACUAGCUAUGGUAAGCCUCCGAGAACAAAUUCUACACCACAAUUAGGUAAAAACAGCACAUCAAAUCCAGAGGAAUAAAGCAAGAAAAUCAAAAGUGAGAAGCUGGCUGGAAACCAGAAUUGUUAACUGUGACUUGACAAAACUUAAGAAAGCGAAUGAAGACAAGCAAUAACAAAGGUGAUUGAAGGAGGUACCCACCCCAUUCUCCAUGAAACGUGCUGACUAAGAAAAGGACGUGAAGAUAAAGGCAUCUUAGGAGGAGAGGACGCGACUCACUAGGUUGGGGUUAGGUUUCAUAAAAGGAAUUCAAAGCUAUGAACAUGAGAGAAUGAGAAAAGCAAGGUGGCAGCAUGAAAUUCAAGUGCAUUUUCAGCUCAAAUCUCUUGGCUUGUAACAGGGUAAUUAAACUGGAAAGAUCAAUUCAAGGUCAAAGAAUCAGGUGCAAUGGCAAAAUAUCAGGGUGAGUCAUUUUUGGCUAAGUGACCGGAACAAAAAGGGCCUAGAUCAUAUCUAGAGUGCAUCCAAGGUCAAGCAAACCAAAAAGAAUCAGUGCAAAUUCUGAAAUGUAACUCUCCAUGCAUGCAAUCACACAAAAAUGAAAAAUUAAAGCUCAAAAUCUCUCAAGGUUGAUAUUUGUCAAAACUGAAAUGCUACUUCUCUAUCAUGAAAAACUACUUAACUCAUUUGAAUCAAAAUGCAAGAAAAGACCGCUUGAAAUCAUCUACUCAAAUUUAGAUCUAAUGACACACUCAGCAAUCUCAAACUAAACGAAACACAACUUUCAUCAUGUCAGUCCGCAAAAAGUAAGCAAAGAGUGAAACAAAACUACCUAGAACUACUAAAAAAACUAAACAAAAUACUAAGACAUAAUUAUUUUUCAAACAUACACAUUUUCACAACUGAAACAGAAGCUAAAAACAGAAAUAGAAAAAAAAAAUUGCCAAAUUUUUGUCAUACAAAAACACAUAACACAACAGUGGGAACAGAAAAAAAAAAGUGAAAGAGAGAAGUGGGCUACCAGCAGACAAUUAUUCAGCAAAAAGUACAAAAAAAAAUUAAAAACAAAAAAAUUAUUCCGCAAAAAGUACAAAAAAAAUUAAAAACAAAAACAAAAAGUAAAAAGAGAUAAGGAAAAAGAAAUCUUAAGUGAAAAUCAGUGUGCUAUUUUCUGAUCCAGUGGCGGUUUCUCCUAAAAGAUCUUCAAUUGGUGACCAUUGACUUUAAGGUCUUCCCAACUUCUGAUUUUCUGAUCUCUACUGCGGGAAUAGUUUGACUGCAUAAAACAAUUCAUGAUCAAAUAAGUUUCAUACUUGUCUGAAAUUUUACAGCAAAUUGACAUCCAAUAAAACAAUAUUCAGCCAAUAGAUCAAUACAUUUCUGCCUCAAUCUUUGUUUUGACACCAUGAGCAAUCUUUCCAACUUCAUCAAUAUCUUUCUCCAUCCUUUUCUUGAUGCUUGAAAAUAAUGUUAUAGAUCAUUUAGCACUAUUAAGUUUUGUUUGCAUGUAUUGUAAAUUCCAAAAGAAGUAUAUAAAAAUAUCAAAUUUGAAGCAUAAACCAUAGUUGUGAGAAAAGACAAUUUACCAUGUUUCUGUCUGGCUAUAGCAGCCUGACAAACCCAAGUUAAUAUAAUUUCAAUUCCAAUACAAAAAAUCCUUAAAAUGAAAUUGAUGAAAUAGAGAUGAAAAUGAGAAGUGAAAAGUGAAGAAAGAAACAUACAGAGAUAUGCAACCCUGGGA